rnacentral:rRNA from 1 species
CCUACGGGGGGCUGCAGUGGGGAAUAUUGCACAAUGGGCGAAAGCCUGAUGCAGCAACGCCGCGUGAGCGAUGAAGGUCUUCGGGUCGUAAAGCUCUGUCCUAAGGGAAGAAUACUGACGGUACCUUAGGAGGAAGCCCCGGCUAACUACGUGCCAGCAGCCGCGGUAAUACGUAGGGGGCUAGCGUUAUCCGGCAUUACUGGACGUAAAGGGUGCGUAGGCGGACCUUCAAGUCAGAGGUGAAAGGCUACGGCUCAACCGUAGUAAGCCUUUGAAACUGUAGGGCUUGAGUGCAGGAGAGGAGAGUGGAAAGCCAAGAGAAGGGGUGAAAUGCGUAGAUAUUGGGAGGAACACCAGUUGCGAAGGCGGCUCUCUGGAAUGUAACUGACGCUGAGGCACGAAAGGGUGGGGAGCGAACAGGAUUAGAUACCCUUGUAGUC